GCCUGGUGAGUGGGAAUAUCCUCUUUCAAAACCAUGAGUUAGAAAAGUUCCUUAAAUUUGUCAGAGCUUUGCGUGGGCUUCAACCUUGACACAGAAGGGGGCUGGCGCUGGUGCAGAUGGGCCUUUUAUUUUGUUGUUGUUGUUGUUAUUGUGCCUGUCUCACUGUCUCAGCUGAGGCCAGUUAAAUUAGCAGAAGAAUAAAUUACAUCAAUUGCGAGUGGAGUAGAAACAGCUGGGGCAAGAGAACAAUGAAUCCGGGACAGACGUACAAACAGGGGGUCCAUAAAAAACAAGCUCCCAAGGCUUUUUUUUCAUUAAGCGAGGAGUCAACGCUGAGGACGUGCCUCCAUUCGGCAGACUUUCUAAAUCCUUCUUCUCCUGUCAAGGCCUCACCUGAAGAGAGAAUACACAGACUCUCUUCUGCAGAAGAACAGGUUGGAUCGGAACAGAGCAUCCUGAUAAGAACGAGCCCUCCUCAAUCACUGCAAACCCUCAGUGUUAGCGCAGAAGUUGUACAGAAAGAGGAAAUGUAGAAUUGGCCGGUGGAAAGUGCACUCUAGAUGACCCAUCAGAUUUUGUGGGUCAGCAAACCCUGAGUGGGCAACAAGGAUGGCAGCUCUGGAAACCGCCAGCACAAAUGGAGGUGAAGCAGAGGAAGAGGUUUGGUGACACCUGCAGCAAAAAUAUCCCCCUUAAAUGGACAAGCACUCAAAAGGUAGAAUUCCCUCAAGACUGCAUAAGAAAUAAAUAACCCAGAGACUCAACGGGAUGCUGAAAUGUUGAACAUUUCAAUUUGUGCAUUUGAAGAAUUCCCUUAUGUUUGAUGAUUUCACCUAAUGCAAGGAAUGUUCUGGACAUUAAAAUAGCCACUGAAUGUAAAUUACAUGUUAAACUAACUGGCUACACUUUUAAAAAUAAAGCUUCUCUAUUAGCAUCUGUGGUUUUAUUAAGAAACCUUAACAUCCAUGGAAACUUUCCAUUGCACUAAAGGUUCUUCACAUUAUUAAAAUGUUCUUGACACUAAGAAUAAAAUUGUUC
ensembl:lncRNA